UAUCGAACUGAGCGUAUGCGUGUGUAUAAAAAGUUGGUUGUUGCUCGCGCAGGUGUAAGCGCAUCAGUAGUAGUCGUCAUCACCGUACUAGGUAGCAUGGGAAGAGAGCUAAUCAAACUACUACUACAAGUAUGGAUGGUAUGUUAAUGGUUUAUGAUGUUUAAGUGUUCCAAUAGGCCAGUGUUUCAUUAGUGUUUCAAUGUGGUUGAUGGGUAGGGAAAGCUCAAAAGCUAAUACAUCUUGUAGGGAUGGAUUUAAAUUUCUUAGAAUUCUUAAUUUAUUGAUGUUUUUAUUGCAAAUGUUUAGGUCCCGUAAGCGAUACCCGUAGGAAAAUCACAUCAUGAAUAAUGCUAGACACUUGAAGUAAUCGUCCAAUUCAGAAACCUUCCAGUAAAAAUUUCUGAAGUGUUCUCGUCCUCUAGCAGAGCAUCACUUAAUUUGUAUUGAGGUGAUAAUUUCUUAUCUGUUUAUUUUUUUCCAAAUCCAUCUACAUUCUUUAUUAUCUCUUCAUGCACGCCAACGGGGAAUAAACACAUACAAUCGGGGAAAUACUAUAAAACUUAAAUUUUUCAACAACGGCAUUCCAAUAAAAGCUCUUGCAGAAAUAUUCACAUCUUCCAGUGCAAAGUAUGUUAACCAUAUGGUAAGGUUUAUUGUGGGGAAGAACUGCCCAUCCCGUCAUUGAUAAAUACUGUGCUGCUUUGUGCUCAUGUCGCGAUAGUGUCGUAAAAAGCAGGGUACUCAAUCGCUUCUGCAAUCGGGUUCGGCGAGGAUUUUAAUCCCAUAAAUCAAUCAAUUGUUUGUGGCCCAUCGUGCCCUCCAUGAAGACCCAAGAUACCAAUGAAGCAGCAGAUAGCAUUUGUAGAGGCAUGUCUAUAAUAACGGGGAAAGAUUGUAAAUUCGAAUGCUUUUCGGAGGUUUAUAAUGCCCGUAGUCGAUAAAAGUCAAUAAUCGGUCACCAUAGUGGCAUUGGGAGCUAAUAUCUGUGGGAUUGUGGGCCGUAUUGAUCUAUAUUAAGUUUAUGCCACCAUAAAGGGUUAGAUAGUGCCGGUGCAAUGUAGAAAGGAAUGAUUCCAUUGAUAGAUGAAGACAAUGUAACUCAUAAUUUGUUGGACAUUCGUCGGCAGAGCAAUGCAAAAUCAUGCAAAAUUCUUAUUUUAACUCAAUUCCUAGUUAAAAUAUUCACAACAAUGGAAUUAGAACACAAUAUAGAGCCUUCUUCUUUUUUCAAUCCUGCUCCAAAUACACACGCACUUAUCUUCACAUCUUUACGCACACAUCCCCAAGCAAGACGCUUCGUUGUGAUGAAAAUGAAACACAGCCCAGUUCAUUACCAUCUCCACAUAGUACGUUACGCCACAAUGUCGCCCUUAACUAGCAGUGGCUUCUGUGCUGCUUAAAACUCCCACUCCAUGAUAUACGAUGAUAAAGUCCCAUAAUUAGGCCAACAUCAAUGAUACGGGACCACUGCUCUUCCUCUCUUACCUGUGUUGUGUGAGUAGCAUGAGAAAAAUGGGCCCUUUUUAUGAAGUAAAUAAAACAAAAUCAUUCAAGUGCAGUUCAGCAUCGGUGUACACAAAGUGUUUCAUGUGGGGCUGAUAUGAUAAUUCGCCACAUCUUUCAACUUUCCGUGACAAUAUGUGGGUAUCUCUGUUCAGCUUUGAGACGAUGGAAUCGUAUGUUGGGAUUUUUUAAAAGAAAAAAAGCUGUACAAGACCGGAUUUCCAUUAGUCGAAACACAACAUUACAGGCCUGACAUAUUAGGCCGAUGAUGUUUAAGUGAAACAAGGGACAGCAUUACGGACAGCAAGAGUCUUGAAUGGCGUAUAAACAACAAAACCAAUGAUAGCGCGUGUGUGCGGCCGCGCUAUUAUCCGAGGGUAGUUGAUAUACAAUCAGCUAAUAACGACAGGGGAAGCGGGUGUCGAAAAAAAAGAAAAAUAUGGUCACCCUUUUUGUGAAGUGAGCAGCUGCACCUCGAAGCUAAAUAACAACAAUUUACCAUUGUGUACAUCAUCGACAAGCGAGAGAUAACACACUAGUUGGGUCGCUUCUUUCGUUGCGAGAUGAGAUGAUUCGAACCAUUUAUCUCGUUGAGCUAUUCUGCGGCUCUUCGUGUUACCGCGUGCCGACCAACAAAUCCAACCACGCGCUCCAAGCGCUAGAUGAACCAACGGUAGUCACUCGUGUGCUAUCUCAGAUCGUUUUCGAUGACCAUCCAUCUAUGAGCGACACUUUAUGAAUCCUUCCUGCGAUAACGAUGUUUUAUGGGGGUGGGGGGGGGGGGGGGGGUUUGCUGGCGAUAGGCGCCGUACACGUAUCGGGCAAGGUCUUGCCUGCCUAAAAACACUCAGGUUGAAGCGACUGGAGUUCGUUGAUUCGCUUUUCUUUGCUGUGACAUGAAUCGCAAAGUAUUGCGGAUAUGACGGAAAUGCUCACUUUGCAUGAUCAUUCAAUGUCCUGAGUUUGAGUUGUUGUUAUUUCAAUAUUUAAAGAGGUUUCGACCUCUUGGGUCUCUUUCGCCUCUGAACGAAUUGAGUUGAGAACUAUUUGAUUAUAUUGAAGAAGUGAGAUUCGGUUAAAUCUAAAUGAUGCACCAUAUAAAUUUCAUAAUUUCAAUAUAAAUUUCGAAGUGAUGUGUUUGCUUAUUGACUUGAACCCUCCAAUAUUUUCAUAAAUACAUUGAAACGGCUGAUCUGUUGGAGGAAACUUCUUCGAGUAACACAACUUCGUUGACGUGCGUCAACAAUACGGCAUAGUCGUAAAAUGCAAUUAAUUUAGUUAAUUAUUUAAUCAAAACAUUUUUCUGAUUUAUUUUCUAUUUCAACAGAAUGGAAAAAAAUCUUGAAUGUAUGACACCUGCCACAAAUUAGCAAAAAUCAUCAGUUUCAGGUUGAUAUGUACGUGCUCCGAAAGCUCAUUUCAUGGUUGGUAAAGCUUCCCAUAAAAGUUAUUUUUAACGCGCUUACUUCGAUGCCAGUCCUGCCGCACAUCGGAACACGCUCGAAGUAAACAUAAAAUCUACAGUCAAAUCAUAACCUUCGCCUUGCAGACGAACGCAAGUUACCGCUUGCUACAGUAAUUGGCAUUCAAACAGCCCAAUCGAUGUACGCCGCGUAAAAAAACAAUCAAUCAACGAAAAAAAAAUCUCGCAAAAACGUACAUUCUUUAUAAGCUACUUUUAAGUGUAACUUAAAUUCCUUCUCCCCGUUGUGUAACGUAUAUCCGAAUCUUCAACAGCAAAAACCACUUCAAACGGCUGGUAAAUGUAAAUUCUCUGCCUACCUUUCUCGUCUCGUUCCUUUGCAGUGAAACAAUUUACCACCAUCUAUUUGGUAAGGCAUUUCGCUACAUACAUGCAUCAUCCCGCCCGCUCUAGGCCCACCGAAGUGCUUUAAACAAUAGGACAAACUGUCUGUCUGUCUGUCGGCUUAUCCCGUCAUCGUUGUCUUGGUCAUUGUCCCCCAAAAACAGGAAGCAUCAAAUGUGUCCCUUGUCCUCCGUACGCACGACCGGCACGCAGAGACCGAGAAACGAAACCGAAAACCGUUUGAUGUUAAUGAAAACAGAAUGAAAUUAAUUUGCCCCAACAAGACGAUAUACCCGGUACGCAACACUUCAAAGAGCGCAGCAGCACCCGGAUGAGACCAGAUUCCUUUGAUAUUUUCACUUCAAAGAUGAACGCGCUCGGCCAAGUAUCAGGAUCGCACGAAGCUCGGGAGGAUGCACCGGCAUUUUAGUAGCAACAAACGAACCGGAACUCGAGUGAAGCCGGGGAAGAGCACAAGACUUUGACCGCUGCUGAGGAAUGGCUGUGUGCUUUGUUUGAAGUGCUCUCCAGAGAUCCACCCUCACUCAAUGACUGAAUGGGGACAUGGCUGUUACUACAGAAAGGGCGAGUGAAAUAUAGAUAAAAAGCGAAAGUUUCAUAGAAGAGAAAGAAAAAAAAACACAACAAGCAGUGUACAACAGUAACAACACUUAAACUUUUCAUCUGAUCCCCUGGCGCAUAGCGAAAUGUUGGAAAAGUCUUUUGUCCCAAAGAAACAAUAAUGGCGAAUGUUUGCCGGUUCGCCAGAAGAGGACAUCUUCCGGUUUUUUCUGUAGAUGUUAUUAUUCUAAGCACACACACAGCGGAUUAGUUGAGCAGCACCAUCCGCAGCUUUGUGACUGGGUCAAUAGCACGAGUCAAUGUUGCAACCAAACCACCUCCAUCGUAUUCGCGCUGGACGUGGCCAAUGGUGAUAAAUGCAAAUGACCCAGCUGUUGCAACUGCUGUUGCUGUUGGUACAGAACAUGUGGCGCCUUCUGGACUUUUGAGUUUUUGUUUCCAAUACACACAGUUAUGCCCGCGAUUGAUGAUGCACUGUAGCGCGCGUGGGGGUCGUGGAUAAUGAUUGCGGUCUGUCUGUAUAAAAUGCAACUGCUAAACACCCUCUGCGUAACACGAUAAUGAAGUUUUACGGGUUCUCCUGUGGUUCGUCAGAGGAACUGUCCUUUCCGUGAACAAGAUUUAUGAAAAAGUGAACUGCACAAGUGAAGCACUCGUCGUUUUAAGAUCAAUAGAAAAUCAUCAAACAUUCUCGACAUUAUGCGAUUCCAGAACAGGUCAAUUCUCGGUCUUAGGUUAAGAUGGAAUUAAUGAACUUUUUUAUUAGAUUUCGGCUACAUGAUGCAUGCGCGUCAUUAAAUUUGUGAGAAACAGGAAAAUAAAUUAAAAUUUUCUGUUAGCAAAA